rnacentral:rRNA from 1 species
AGAAUCAACGCUGGCGGCGUGCCUAACACAUGCAAGUCGAACGAGAAAGUGGAGCAAUCCAUGAGUAAAGUGGCGCACGGGUGAGUAACACGUGACUAACCUACCCUUGAGUGGGGGAUAACCUAGAGAAAUCUGGGCUAAUACCGCAUAAUACCUUCGGGUCAAAGGAGCAAUUCGCUUUAGGAGGGGGUCGCGGCCGAUUAGUUAGUUGGCGGGGUAAUGGCCCACCAAGACUGUGAUCGGUAUCCGGCCUGAGAGGGCGCACGGACACACUGGAACUGAAACACGGUCCAGACUCCUACGGGAGGCAGCAGUGGGAAUUUGCGCAAUGGGGGAAACCCUGACGCAGCAACGCCGCGUGGAGGAUGAAGCCCCUUGGGGCGUAAACUCCUUUCGAUCGGGAAGAUAAUGACGGUACCGAGAGAAGAAGCCCCGGCUAACUUCGUGCCAGCAGCCGC